CUCACUCCUUGCCCGGUCAUUGUUUUCUGUUUCCUGAUCCACGCUCCUGUCCCGUUUGUAGUCUGAGGAGGACCCGAGCCAUUGACAGUAUCUGAGCAAGUCAAGCCGUGCUUGGCCUGAUCCCUCAGGGUGACGUAGCGACCGCAGUCCCUGCAGAGCUCGGUGCGACUCCCGCACACCAGCUGGUGUUCGUCUAGCUGCUUCCACGGCAGCUCCAGCUCGCAGAAGUGACAGCACUCUCGACGCUCCACGCACUCAUCGGACUGGGAGACAAAAGCAGACUCAGAAUGUUAAAAAGGUGUCCCGGUGCAGUAAACUGUGUUUAACUAUGACAACAAUUCAGCCAGCUUGGGCUGCUCCUCUGGAGGCUUUUACACCUCAACAAAAAAAUAAACAUUAUCAAGAAAAUGAGGUUUU